rnacentral:misc_RNA from 1 species
GAAAUGCGAUAAGUAGUGUGAAUUGCAGAAUUCAGUGAAUCAUCGAAUCUUUGAACGCACAUUGCGCCCUUUGGUAUUCCAAAGGGCAUGCCUGUUCGAGCGUCAUUUGUACCCUCAAGCUUUGCUUGGUGUUGGGCGUCUUGUCUCUAGCUUUGCUGGAGACUCGCCUUAAAGUAAUUGGCAGCCGGCCUACUGGUUUCGGAGCGCAGCACAAGUCGCACUCUCUAUCAGCAAAGGUCUAGCAUCCAUUAAGCCUUUUUUUCAACUUUUGACCUCGGAUCAGGUAGGGAUACCCGCUGAACUUAAGU